rnacentral:lncRNA from 1 species
CCUCUCCUUAUCAGUCGAGCUACCUUCUAAACCCUCAAACCUUCAGUCAAGUCAUUUCAUUUCUUUUCCCUUCUACAGAGCCUGAACGUAGUCCAACCUGCACGCAUUAAAAAAGCACUGUCAAAUAUUUCUCCCGACUCAGAAAGAUGGAACCAGGCUUGAAACCCGCAUUCCUACUCCCGGCUAUGAGAAUAGUCACUUCCACCCGCAUUCACUAGAGCAACCGUUGUAAGAGUCAAAUUCUUCGCUAUGUACUCUUUCUAAACUUUUAUGUAGCUCGUUCCCUCAACUUAUCUAUCAAGUGAGCAUCCUCCCUUUUCUUCCAAUAAGUUGAAGCAGAAGUGGAUUCCACAGUCCUUUCCCCCUUGUUCUUUGAUUCCCCAUUGGUGGAUUGGAUUACAAAAGAAAGUCCGCUCUCGUCACUGAGAAUUGGGCAGCCUGCCAUGUUCAAGAGCUUUGCCUUCUAUCUCCUCAUUGGCUAGUCCCAAAAACCCACCUGGCCAUCCUUCUUCGUAACAGGGACUAUGUUAGCAAGCCAAUCUGGAUAUUUUUCGACCUCUUCUUUGAUUUUCAACAUCCACUCGGGUCUCAAUCUCCUCAACUUCUACUUUAUGGGCUUGCUAUUCGGGAAUUACUCGCCCUAAUGAUUAAAGAAGGAGAGGCUUAACAGAUACUUAAUUGCUUCUUUAUCGACUUUAGUCCGAAGGUCACUCGUUGGAGGCAUCACAUACUACUCUUAUUAGUCUCUUCCUAAGGUUACUCAAGGAAGGCAUCACAGACACUGACUUGUAUUUCUUCCCAGCUCUUAGUCCUGACUUGCCCUUAUUACGAAAGUGAAAGCCAAUGCUAGCUUAAGAUAGGUC